rnacentral:rRNA from 1 species
GAUCUGGCUCAGGACGAACGCUGGCGGCGCGCCUAACACAUGCAAGUCGAACGGGGUUAUACGGGAUGAAGUUUUCGGAUGGAAUUCUAUAUAACCUAGUGGCGGACGGGUGAGUAACACGUGAGCAACCUGCCUAUCAGAGGGGGAUAACGAUUGGAAACGAUCGCUAAUACCGCAUGACAUAGCGGGAAGGCAUCUUCCUGCUAUCAAAGAUUUAUCGCUGAUAGAUGGG